GAAACGACUGCUAAGACUGGAUAGGAAAAGUAAAGGCAUCUUUACUUUUUUAAAAGACCUUCUUUGAAGGUAUGCUUAAGGAGGGGCUUGCGACACAUUAGUUAGUUGGCAGGGUAAAGGCCUACCAAGACUAUGAUGUGUAGCUGGACUGAGAGGUUGAACAGCCACAUUGGGACUGAGACACGGCCCAAACUCCUACGGGAGGCAGCAGUAGGGAAUUUUCGGCAAUGGAGGAAACUCUGACCGAGCAACGCCGCGUGAACGAUGAAGUACCUCGGUAUGUAAAGUUCUUUUAUUAAGGAAGAAAAAAGAGUGGAAAAACUCCCUUGACGGUACUUAAUGAAUAAUCCCCGGCUAAUUAUGUGCCAGCAGCCGCGGUAAUACAUAAAGGGCGAGCGUUAUCCGGAAUUAUUGGGCGUAAGGGGUGCGUAGGCGGUUUAAUAAGUUUACAGUUUAAUUUCAGCGCUUAACGCUGUUGUGCUAUAGAAACUGUUUUACUAGAGUGAGUUAGAGGCAAGCGGAAUUCCAUGUGUAGCGGUAAAAUGCGUAAAUAUAUGGAGGAACACCAGAGGCGUAGGCGGCUUGCUGGGACUUUACUGACGCUGAGGCACGAAAGCGUGGGGAGCAAACAGGAUUAGAUACCCUGGUAGUCCACGCCGUAAACGAUGAGUACUAAGUGUCGGGUAAAACCGGUACUGAAGUUAACACAUUAAGUACUCCGCCUGAGUAGUACGUACGCAAGUAUGAAACUUAAAGGAAUUGACGGGACUCCGCACAAGCGGUGGAUCAUGUUGUUUAAUUCGAAGAUACACGAAAAACCUUACCAGGUCUUGACAUUUUCUUGCGAAGUUAUAGAAAUAUAAUGGAGGUUAUCAGGAAAACAGGUGGUGCAUGGUUGUCGUCAGCUCGUGUCGUGAGAUGUUAGGUUAAGUCCUAAAACGAGCGCAACCCUUGUCGUUAAUUGCCAGCAUGUAAUGAUGGGGACUUUAAUGAGACUGCCAAUGAAAAAUUGGAGGAAGGUGGGGAUUACGUCAAAUCACCAUGCCCCUUAUGAUCUGGGCUACAAACGUGAUACAAUGGUUGAUACAAAGAGUAGCUGAAACGCGAGUUCUUAGCCAAUCUCACAAAAUCAAUCUCAGUUCGGAUUGAAGUCUGCAACUCGACUUCAUGAAGUUGGAAUCGCUAGUAAUCGCGAACCAGCAUGUCGCGGUGAAUACGUUCUCGGGGUUUGUACACACCGCCCGUCA
rnacentral:rRNA from 1 species